CCGGGCGCACGGGUGAGUAACGCGUAUGCGACCUGCCCGUUGCAGGGGGGAUAAUCGGGAGAAAUCCCGUCUAAUACCGCGUAACGCCGCGGGGCUGCAUGGCCCUGCGGCCAAAGGGAGCGAUUCCGGCAACGGAUGGGCAUGCGUGACAUUAGCUAGUUGGCGGGGCAACGGCCCACCAAGGCGACGAUGUCUAGGGGUUCUGAGAGGAAGGUCCCCCACACUGGUACUGAGACACGGACCAGACUCCUACGGAAGGCAGCAG
rnacentral:rRNA from 1 species